CUAGAAACAAGGAAAAUGCUACAUCAUUUGCCAACCUUCUCUUUGUGCAGGUUCAAGGACCAAUACUGAGCGGAAGAACUUGUGGCUGUACUUUAGUAUUUUAAGCUUUACAUUAUGGAUUCACUUGACUACUCUCUUCAUAUAUUUUGUUUAUUUUAGUAUGUUAAGCUAUAAAUACUUGAUUCUGUGA